UCGGUCCGUGAUCCUUAUGUGUAUUAUUUUGCAGGGGCGGCCAUGGCAGGGAGGGGAGGCGACGCUGCGCUCCGGAUGCGGCAGGGAGGCGGAAGCCCCGCGAGGAGACGAAGGAGCGGAAAAUGAAGAGGUAUGGAGGAGAGGAGGACGAGCGGGAAGUGCUGGGGCGUGUGGGCGAGCGGGAAGGGCUGGGGCGUCGCCCACGACGCCGAGCUUGACGGCGGCCUUGCUGUGGUGCAGCCGGCGAGGACCUGUCGGAUCUGGCCGGAUCCGGUGGGAUACGGCGCGCAUGUGGCGGAUCUGAAAGGAAGGCGACCGGGGCGUGGAGUACGAUGGCUGACAUGCGCGGCAUGGCCGAAGCCGACGAGAGAAGAGAGAGAUGGAGAGAAAAGAGAGGACGGGAAGGAGACGAGACGCCAGAGGAGAGAGAAGGGGGUGGUGGUCACUUCAACAGGCUGCAGCGCGGCGCCGCCCCGGCCGCUGAGCCUGCCCGACCGCCCCGUCGCCAAGUCGCCACCCCACUGACUGCCUUGGGCUCGCCCUUUAAACCAAUUCAGAGCCAGCGAUUGUUGCCCACAUCGCCGAACCUGGCUCCCCUUCUCCACCCCAGCAAGCACACGCGCUUGAAGGCGCCCAGGAGCUCGCCGGCAACACUCAGCAGACGCAGGAGAGUUGCGUGCCUGGUGCGUGUGAAUGUGUGGACGCGAGGCAUUGGAGGCCUCAGCAAGUUUUGGAGCUGAUCAGUAGCACGCUGACAUGCAUCAGGAAGCCGACGGACAGCCAUAGUAGGAAGGCGUGGAUCUUGAGCUGCAGCGACAACGACAACUUGGGCGUUACCUGCAAAAAUACAACAGUUCAAGGGUUCAACCAAGUGUAAGUUUGAUUCAGUCAAUUAUUGCAGUUCUGCACUGAAACAUUCAGAUUCUUGCAUCCAAAGUUAGAUAGGAACAGGGAAAGAAUCUCCAACGCUUAUUUACAUGGGAAAGAACACUCUUUAACUUUGGUUCAGAUCAUCAGUCUAUCUGAAGCACCAUAGAUUGAGUUUGCAAGCAAAAGGAUCACACAAUCUGACAGUACAAGGAGCAGUCUUUUUCUUCACAUCUUUGUUUUAGCUUGCAUCUGACACUUAUGUGCUCCAAGAUUAGGCAACCAAAACUGAACUUAUGACUACAUGAGUGCAUGAAAAACUGUUAAUAUCUCUGAUUUGACUAAUCUUUGGAUUGGUCGGAGACGAGAUUCUCUGGCUUUGGGGAUGGCCCUUUGGGGUUCUAUCAGGGUUCUAUUCAUGUGCACUAGGCACUUCUCAACACUUCCAUAGUUAUUCUAGAACCUCUUUAAAUUUGCAAUGCUCACCAGAUUGUACACGUUUUGCAGUCAACUAUUCAGACUAUUGACUAGGGACGAUAUUUUCAGUCCUACUGAGUCUGCAAAGGAUGAGCCAAGCCAAGAUUAAUUAUGGUUUUGGUAAAUUGCAUCGGUUUAGUUAUGUACCUGCUCCUUAGAUGACUGUGUAUUUGUGAUUCAGUCGUUGAAAUUUGGGUGCUUUCUUCGAGUGUCCUGAAAAAUGGUUCAAUGCGUGUUUGCCAGAAACUGUAGAUUAGCAAGACUAACUUGUGUUGAGCAUGUCAGUCUAUGCGUGGGCACGAGUGACAAUGUAAAUUAUGGUAGACACAUUUUCUUGAAAAAAGUCCCGGAGACGGGCUGCUGCUGCUGCUGCUUUUGAUAGCCAAAGUGGAGACUGCAGUUCUAAGACUUCAAGGAGGAAAGGAAUACAUGGUUGCUACUUGGAGAGGUGAGUUGUUUCCCUGCAGAACAAUAAAUCUCUUAGAGUUGUUUAACUGAACCUGUUCCACUCUCAUUGUUAUGUUGAGAUAAAAAUUGUUAUUGGUCACUCAGUGCCCAAGCUGUCGUGGAUUAAUUUGACUUGAAUUGGAUUGUACUUCAAGAGUCCACAAGAUGUCAUUUCUGAGUGUGGUACUAAUUUCGGCACAUAGCACCAAUUCCUAAAAAUAAGGCUGGGCAACAUGAGCUAACCACAGGGGAGGAUGUUUCAAGAGAAUAAACUCACUGUAGUUGCCGAAUUGGUAUUUGUAAGUUGCUGUUUCAACUUCCUAGAGAACAACAGGGGGUGUAUUUUUUUUUACUAUUAUUAGUUGCAGCACAUGGUGACGAUGAGGAGGACUUGUAUUUUUAAGAUGCUGCACCUCUGUUUUUUGUUGAUCUUUGUUUCAUGUAUAUAUGUACAUUCUAUGGAAAUGUAUCAUCGGAAAUGUGAAUUCAUAACUCUAUGGUUGAUGUAUCUAUUGA